UCAAUAGAGCUAAGUACAGUACAAACUGGCACUAAAAAGGUUGACUCGGCUCGGAAUUUCAUAUGUACUGCGGCUGCCCGUGUUAGAUAGUGUAAUCUAAUGGAUUAUUUAAUUAACAAACUUAAGAACACAGGUGCAGAAAUAUGAAUGGCGACUAGUCCUGGUAAACUUGAUAUGAGCACAAGGAUAAUGUCUGAACUGUACAUAAACUCCAUAAACUGUGUGAUACUAGUAGUUGCUCUUGCUCUCAUCAUUCUUAUAUAUGUCGUCUUCAUCGGACUCUACUGUCUAAUGGGAGGAUGCGGUGUAGUGAAUGUUCUGAAGAAGAUACUAUCCUUGUUAAACUGUAAACU